AGCAGCCGCGGUAAUUCCAGCUCCAAUAGCGUAUAUUAAAGUUGUUGCAGUUAAAAAGCUCGUAGUUGAAUUUCGGGGUCAGUAGGUCGGUCGUGCCACUGGUAUGAACUGGUUUUACUGAUUCCUCCCUCUUGAAGAACUGUAAUGCCAUUAAUUUGGUGUUGCAGGGAAUCAGGACUGUUACUUUGAAAAAAUUUAGAGUGUUUAAAGCAGGCUUUAGCUUGAAUACAUUAGCAUGGAAUAAUGAAAUAGGACGUUUGAUCCUAUUUUGUUGGUUUCUAGGAUUGACGUAAUGAUUAAUAGGGAUAGUUGGGGGCAUUAGUAUUCAAUUGUCAGAGGUGAAAUUCUUGGAUUUAUUGAAGACUGACUACUGCGAAAGCAUUUGCCAAGGAUGUUUUCAUUAAUCAAGAACGAAAGUUAGGGGAUCGAAGACGAUCAGAUACCGUCGUAGUCUUAACCAUAAACUAUGCCGACUAGGGAUCGGAUGAUGUUAAUUUUUUUAAUGACUCAUUCGGCGCCU
rnacentral:rRNA from 1 species